CUUUAAAUGACAGAUUUAAUCAGUAUUCGAUAGCUCAUAGAUGACUCGCAAUAUUUGAUUGGAAUAGUAUGUACGCAUGUACAAUGUUGUCAUUUUCAAUGUUCUCGCGAGCGUGGGUUCUGAAUUAAGUGGAUAACCCUGCAAUCCCAUUUUAAAAUAUUAUGUCGCUUCACUUUAAGGAAUAUGGGUGCUGUGCGGAUCAUUUUUUAUCCGAAAUGUUCAAAGUAAAUCCUACAAAAAAUACGAAUAGAAGGAAAAGGUUGAAGAAGAAUGCCGUGCCCGAACCAUCAAAAUAUUUCUUUAAAAAAUAAAGAAGAAACAGAAGAUGUACAAGAAAGACAGCUUGUAAUCGAAAAACAGCUGAUGAAAAAAGAAGAAGGGCAUCAACAUCACCACUACCACUACCAACAACAGCAAGUGGACGUGGUUUAUUAGUGUAGAGAGGUAAAUAUUAGUGAAUGCUUUUGGAAAAAAUACAAUGUUCCAGUUUUAUUUCUAUUAAAUGCAAAAUAGUAUAAAUUCGUACGAAAAGAAGAGGACGAAUCAAGAAGAAGAGGAUGAAUCCCGACAUCUUCGCCUGAGAAGAGGACGCUUCGUUGCAGAAGGCGAGAAUGCUGUUUCCCAUUGAUUCUUUUAUUCAUAAGAUAAGGGAAUCAAUCACUGUGAAGUCAGCCUACAAAACAAUCGUGUUCCGAAUUCUACAGUUUCUGAAGAAUCAAUUCCCCUUCAACUAUUCUGAAGGAGAACUUUCCGUUAAAGCUAAAGAAGAUCCGCGCUCGAGAAGACAUAAAAAAAAAAGAGGGCAUGCAUGUAUCAAAAGACAAAAGGAAGGGCGAAGAUCAGUUUAGAUUUUCUCAACGACAGAAAUUUAUUUAUUUCUUUUAUUUUUUUGUUAGUAAAUUAUUAUAUUCUAACAGUUUGUACUAUUUCUAACUCGGCUUUAUGUGUGUCAUCGUUCAAAAAUAUAGUAAACAAUUAAUUUCUCUUUCUCAAUUUACAAUUAGUUUCAUUAUUGCACGAUUUUAUCAUUCUUAUACUUGUCUAUCUCGGAUAGGAUAGUAGAUAUGAACUUUUCCGUAGAACCAUACAAUUAAAUGUUUCUUGUAUAACUCAAUGGAAUUUGGAAUGGAACUCAAUACGUUCUUGUCUAUGUUAGUAUGCAACCAAACAAGGCAGAUCUCUAAUUUUCUAGGUUCUUGUACAUGUUAAUGUCAAUUAAACCCAGCACUUAGCCGCAUGGUGCACAACUAGGUCCAAAAUAUAAGAAAUGUUAUAUUUUAUUUAAAUAAAAAAUAAUAUUUUUAUAAUAAAUUUAAA